rnacentral:tRNA from 1 species
UCUAUUUUGGCAGAAAAUGCUUUAGACUUAGAAUCUAACUAUAUAAAAUUUUAUAAAUAGAA